rnacentral:lncRNA from 1 species
AGAUCUUGAAGGUCCAUCAACACCAUCAUAGCCACCUGCUUGAGAGCCACUCAGGAGCAGCAGGACCAACCCCCAUCAGUCUCAGGGAGGGGCCCAUUGGAUACCAUGGCUCAAACUUAGCUCAUUCGGCAUGGAAGCGAGGAAUGUUAGCCACUGAGCCUUCAUGUAGCGUUCUUACACUGGUGGGACGCUCUUCGAAAAGACACAAAUGCCUCAGAGAGAGCAGAGCAGGCGGACUGAAGCUCUGUCAGCAAAUAAAAUCGAAUCAGCCUGACUUGUGAUAUUUACUGGCUUGCAGCAACCCGACCGCAGGUAUGGACCUUGGCUACCAGUGCUUGGUCUAAGGACCGCUUUGCUGUGUGGCGUUCUUGUGGCUCUGGCUAACUGGUACCCAGGAGACGACGGGUCCAGCACAUCUCCAAGAGGACAUCCAAAUGGCCUAC